UCACUUUAAAAUAGCCGCUUAUUUAAUUUAAUUUUAUUUAUUUUUCUAUACACAGUCACACUGGGUGAACUUUAGUUGGUAAAAAAUAUCAGCGAAUUUUCCUCCAUGAAUUCUUUCAGGCAUUCCUUCAGAAGUUCCUUCUAAAUUCCUUCUGAUUUUCGUAUGGAAGUUUCUUCUCAGAUGUUUUCUGUAGUUUUUUUUCCAAUAUUCAUUCAGGAGCUCCUUCUUGAAUUCCUCCAGGAGUGCCUUCAGAGAUUGAUAUGAGAUUUCUCCGAGGGUUCACCAGGAGUUCCUACUGAAAUUAGUCCAGCAGUUUCUACUAGUGUUCUGGUGUUCCUCCAGUUGAACAGCGGGGUGAAGUUGAUCAUUAUGGAGUUUAUUUUGUUUAUUUUGUUUAUUUACUCAUAAUUCAACUGACUUUUGAAGUCUUAUUGAAUAACUUAAAACUAUGGAUACGAAACUACAUUCAAAGCAUACGAACUACAAACAAUUAUUGCAAAAAAAAAAAAAAUAUUACAUUUAAAAAUCAUCAUAAAUUUUCCUAUUUUCAGAAAUAAAAAUCAAACCUACACAUACAAAUCACAUUCUACACAGUUAACAUCAUCAAAUUUCAUUUACAUUCAGAAGAGACAAAACUAUCUGUGACAAAAUAACUAGUAACAUUCAAAUUCAUUGACAAUGACAAUGAGGCUUCCACGUUUCAUUGUGAUUGUGACGCCCCUCGGGCGAUACGCACCUUACAUCGUCGACCUUGGUUCGUCGAUCGUCGGUACAAUUGACAUUCUAUUGUCCGAUAGGACAAUUGACGUGAUCACUGGAUAUGACAGCAAAGGAGUUGAGAAAAACGCUGAUUCAUGAUGAUGUGUGGAAUAUGCAGUGAAAAAUCAGAAAACUAUUUGAGAAUAAUUCGUGCCUAUAAUUGAAUUCCGUGAAAUGUUCUUAAUCUAGUUAAAAAUAGCUAUUACCUGCGUUAAAUUCUUAGUCAACAAGUGACUAGUAAUCAAUUUGUUAUUCUAAAAAUUGUUUAUCCUACAACUAAUAUCUAACUUAUCAAGCUAAACUUAAGUACGGAGGAGACCUGAUCCAGACAAUUGAGGUAGAAGAGAUUUGAGAGGCACUAAACGUAAGCAAAAUGAAUUACAAUGUCAAUCUCGUAAUAACAAAACUUUAUAUUAAAGGAAAUUUUAACCAGCCAAAAGUUUGCGUUGGUUCAUUUUUUCGGAAGACGAUCCCUCCAGUUGGCGCGGCCAACAUAGGUUAACAAAUUCUCUUAUUUUGACAUUCUUUGGCCAUAUACCCGGAUCCAUAGCUCGUGUUUUCCAUCCCUUAUCAAUGACAACUUUGAAAGAAAUAAAAUCGGGUUUUCUGCAACGAUUCCAUUUGGAAGCCAAUUUUACUACAUCGAUGCGCUCGGGUUGCGGAGUACCUAUUGCUCGAGAGACCAUCACAUGUAUAUCCCGUUCGGUUGCACUUUCAUCAAUAUUUGUGACAAACAAUGAGAAGUCGUCGUCGUCAUCUGCAGUGCGCAGCUUCUCAUUACUCUGCGUGUGUGGGGCAUUCAUAUCGGUUUCGUUGUGUAGUUCGGACGAUGCGAUGGGUGUCGAAUGAAGCAGCGAAACACGACUCGAGAAGACUGCUGGAGCCGGUGGUAUAGCUUUCGACAGCAUUUCGAGAAUUCCCGCCACAGUUGAUUUUAACUCUUUCACUUCUUCUGCAAUCGUUUUUGCGUUCGUUGGUUUGCUUGUAGGAUCGGAUGAGAUACCGUCUCUCACUCUCCGGAACUUAUCGAUACAGAUAUCGCACAUCCAAAUGAUGUUCAACGAGAGGGUGCACACAUCUUCUUCGCUUAGUCCAACACAGUUAGCGUGAUAAAGUCCCGCGCAAUCUCCUUCGCAAACUGUGAAUAGUUCGGUAGUAGAGUCGACACUUUUGGAGCAUUUUCGGCAAGUUCUAUCUCUUUCCAUUGCCGAUCAGGAAUGGCAGUUACUGCUAAAGAGAUACGUAGCAAAAUAACUUUGUAUUUUCGUUAUUUCCUGAAUCGCAACGAUGUCCACGGCACUAAACUGGCACAAUUAUUCUCA